UACGAUUAGAUACCCUAUUAUUUUAAAUGUAAAUAUUAACCCGGGUAGUAAUAGUUAUGUUCUUGAAACCCAAAGGAUCUGGCGGUAUUUUAUUCUUUUUAGAGGAGUCUGUCCCGUAAUUGAUAACCCACGAAGAGAAAUACCUAUCUUUGUAUUCAGUUUGUAUACCUCCGUCAUAAGAGUAUCUUUUUAGAGUGAAUAUUCUAUUAAUACAAAAUAUAAUAUGUCAGGUCAAGGUGCAAUUUAUGGAUAGGUGGAGAUGGACUACAAUAAAGUAUAUUUAUGCGAAUUAUUAUAUUUAUUUUAAUAUGAAGAUGGAUUUAAAAGUAAAAAUAUUUUCUUAGUAUUUUGACUUUAGCUCUAAAAUAUGCACACAUCGCCCGUC
rnacentral:rRNA from 1 species